CUGGCGAGAUCACCAUUCUCAUGAAAGGCAUUUAUCAAAUCCUGGUGAGUCUCUAAGCUUGAAAGACGAAGUUCCCUCACUUUGGGCAUCUGAAGAUGAUGAAUGUGUGAAGCCUCAGAGAGAUAUUUACAAGUUCCUAACAGGCCACGGACCAGUACAGGGGUUGGGGACUCCUGCUCCAGAGCUCGUGAGCCACAACUACUGAGCCCGCAUGCUACAACUACUGAAGCCCGUGCGUCUAGAGCCCGUGCACCGCAACGAAGAGUAGCCCCCGCUCGCCACACCUAGAGAAAGCCCACGCGCAGCAACGAAGACCCAACACAGCCAAAAAAGAAAAAAAAAAUCACAAUUCAUUUUGUUUAUGAUUUCAUUACUACUUGAAAGACCGAAGUCUCAACAGCCUUUGAAAAGUGGUUGUCUCCUGGAACAGCUCUCUCUACUCGGAUGUGAGUCUAGCUGGGAAGAGAUCUGCAGUUUAAAAAGUCAACAAUAUUGCAUUUAUACAUGUAAGAGGUGAUGACAGGUGUAACUAAGACAUCGUCAAUGAUGAGGGAUGGAUCUGAGAUCCAUUUAAGAGGACCAUGAACAGGCUCCAGCGGCUGAUGAGACAGAAUGGGUCUAGAAUCCCUGGUUUCUGGCUUGAGGCAACUUUAUGAUUUGGUGGGCCUCGUCCAAUCAGUUGAAGGCCUGAAUAGAACGAAACAGUGAUCUCCCCCAGCAAGAGGAAAUUCUGCUGGCAGAGAGCCUUCAGACUUGAACUGCAGCAUCAGCUCUUCCCUGGGCUUCCAGCCUGCCAACUUUUCCUACAGUCUUUGG